rnacentral:rRNA from 1 species
GAUCAUGGCUCAGGAUGAACGCUGGCGGCGUGCUUAACACAUGCAAGUCGAACGAGAAAUGAAGACGGAAACCUUCGGGCGGAAGGCUUCAUUUCGAGUGGCGGACGGGUGAGUAACGCGUGGGUAACCUGCCUCAUACAGGGGGAUAACAGUUGGAAACGACUGUUAAUACCGCAUAAGACCACAGCACCGCAUGGUGCGGGGGUAAAAACUCCGGUGGUAUGAGAUGGACCCGCGUUCGAUUAGCCAGUUGGG